rnacentral:rRNA from 1 species
AGCAGUGGGGAAUCUUGCGCAAUGGGCGAAAGCCUGACGCAGCCAUGCCGCGUGAAUGAUGAAGGUCUUAGGAUUGUAAAAUUCUUUCACCGGGGACGAUAAUGACGGUACCCGGAGAAGAAGCCCCGGCUAACUUCGUGCCAGCAGCCGCGGUAAUACGAAGGGGGCUAGCGUUGCUCGGAAUUACUGGGCGUAAAGGGAGCGUAGGCGGACAUUUAAGUCAGGGGUGAAAUCCCGGGGCUCAACCUCGGAAUUGCCUUUGAUACUGGGUGUCUUGAGUAUGAGAGAGGUAUGUGGAACUCCGAGUGUAGAGGUGAAAUUCGUAGAUAUUCGGAAGAACACCAGUGGCGAAGGCGACAUACUGGCUCAUUACUGACGCUGAGGCUCGAAAGCGUGGGGAGCAAACAGGAUUAGAUACCCUGGUAGUCCACGCCGUAAACGAUGAUUGCUAGUUGUCGGGAUGCAUGCAUUUCGGUGACGCAGCUAACGCA